rnacentral:rRNA from 1 species
AUGAAAACGACAAAAUCACUGGCCGUAGUCCCUCCUCCUCCUCCCACUCUCCCCCCGCGCCGCCACCCCUGCGGGCGGCUCGGGUGGCGCCGCCGUCCCCCGCCUCUAACCCCCUUCCCUCGCUCCUCCCCCCGCCGCCGCCGGCCGGAUCCGCCAGGGCAAAGCCCCUGCGGUGGCUGGCGGCGGGGGCUUCUUCCUCCUUCGCUCGGAUCUGGGCGACGCGGGGUGGCCCGCCCGUCGGAGGCGUCAGGCGCGCGUGGGGCCUGGCGGCGUUGUGGCGGUGGCUCCGGUCGGCGUCGUGCCGCGGCUCGGCGGCGCCCUGGCGGCUGCAGCCCGCAACGCGGCGGCUGCGUGCCCAUGGCCGCGUCCUGGAUAAGAUCUGGGCGUCAGUGGGCUGCGGGCGGCUCGGGAGGACCUCCGUCGGUCUUCUCCAGCUCUGGUUGGUUCUCUGGGGGCGGAUGGUGGCGGCGGAGCAGAGGCUUCGGGUGGUCGCGUGCCCGGCCUGGUCUCAUGGCUGGAUUCCGGCGGGCGGCGCGGGGUGGGGUAGUGGCCUGUCUUGGUUGCUGCUCCGGCCGUGGGCGGCCGCGGUGUUGUAUGGUCCAGCGGCGGCCGUCCGGCGGCGCGGCGGCUACACGGUGGUUCGGCAGCUCUGCGCGCGGCGACGGCUGGCUUUUCUCCGGCCUCGGCUCGUCUGUGGUCGGACCGUGCCGACCUUUGCGUCAUCUCCUCGUCGUCUGGGCUCUACUUCUGUCGAAGGGCUGGCUUUCUUCCAGUUGCGGUCCAUCGCUCGUCUCGCGCCCGGCGCGGCGGGACCGAGCUCGUCUCGCGCACGGUGUAGGACCGAGCUCGUCUCACGCACGGUGCAGCAGGACCGACCUUGUCUCACACAUGGUGCCGUAG